rnacentral:rRNA from 1 species
AGUGAACGCUGGCGGUAGGCCUAACACAUGCAAGUCGAACGGCAGCACAGUAAGAGCUUGCUCUUACGGGUGGCGAGUGGCGGACGGGUGAGGAAUACAUCGGAAUCUACUUUUUCGUGGGGGAUAACGUAGGGAAACUUACGCUAAUACCGCAUACGACCUACGGGUGAAAGCAGGGGAUCUUCGCACCUUGCGCGAUUGAAUGAGCCGAUGUCGGAUUAGCUAGUUGGCGGGGUAAAGGCCCACCAAGGCGACGAUCCGUAGCUGGUCUGAGAGGAUGAUCAGCAACAGUGGAGAUGAGACACGGUACAGACUCCGACGUGAGGCAGCAGUGGGGAAUAUUGGACAAUGGGCGGAAGCCUGAACCAGCCAUACCGCGUGGGUGAAGAAGGCCUUCGGGUUGUAAAGCCCUUUUGUUGGGAAAGAAAAGCAGCAGGUUAAUACCCCGCUGAUCUAACGGUACCCAAAGAAUAGGCACCGGCUAAUUUGGU